rnacentral:rRNA from 1 species
UACGGAGGAUGCAAGCGUUAUCCGGAAUGAUUGGGCGUAAAGGGUCCGCAGGUGGCAGUGUAAGUCUGCUGUUAAAUAGUGAGGCUCAACCUCAUAAAGGCAGUGGAAACUACACGGCUAGAGUGCGUUCGGGGCAGAGGGAAUUCCUGGUGUAGCGGUGAAAUUCGUAGAUAUCGGGAGGAACACCAGUGGCGAAGGCGGCGACCUGGGGCGAUACUGACGCUGAGGUGCGAAAGCGUGGGGAGCAAACAGG